rnacentral:lncRNA from 1 species
GGUUAACAUUUAUUUUAUUUGACCUAAACAAAUCAAUCCAAGAAAAAAAUAAAUCACACAAUUGACAGCCACAGUCCUGGAAUAAAGGACUCCAGCCCAAUAGAACAGACUCUUGUUAUGAAAAGUAGAUGGUUUUCCUAAGAAAAGUCUCAGACAUUUUUGGAAAUCAAUGGAACAAUCGCCUGCAGCAUCUGGGGAGCAAGUUAUCGCUACAAUCACACCCGGGGCCAAACUAUUAAGUGUCAGAAAAAUACCUACGCGAUUAAAACUGUUUCACAGGAAUAAGUGGCAAAGAAAUCAGAUUACUUAAAGCCUCAAAAUCCAAACAGAACAAAACACAUUUUCAACUGCUACCUUUGGCCCUGUGUCUAAAACAAAUGCACUAAAUCCCACUUUGCAUGAGCCCUAUAAAAUAGGGAGGGGAGAAAAAGUCUUCUUUCCUCCUGCCCAGAUUCCUCCCCUGGAACCAGCGAGCUCUCCCGCUGCCAAUGAGAAGUUUCCUCGAGGUGCUUUUUAAAGAGCAUUGAAAGGCGGCAGCAGUGACCCAGAAGCCUGGGAAAAAUACCCGGUUUCUCAGACUACCAGCCCCACCCCCUUCUGGGCAAGGCACCCAGCUGAGUGGAGCUAGUCCCCAAAGCUGAUCUGCUUCUUUGCAUGAGCAGGGACAAUUUUCCACCCACACUGUGCAACCCUGCUCCAGACACGGCUGUCAGGUUACACAACCUGGCUUCUCUCCUGGACAGAGGGGGGAGAUACCCACUGGAUCUCUUGGGGCUCUGCUAUUGAUCAAGGGAUUGCUUUGGCCUGAGGAGUAAGAACAUGGGGCUGGCUGCCUUCUGCAGCAGGGGCCAGUUAAGAGGGAGGAAUUAUCUGAAACCUUAAAAAAAUGCUAAAUGGAUUAAGAUUUCUGCACACACUAGGGUAUGUGGGAUGGAUGGCCAGUGGGGACCUGCUGUAUAGCACAGGGAACUCAACCCAACAUUCUGUGAUAACCCAUGUGGGAAAAGAAUCUGAAAAAAAAAAUGGAUAUGUGUCUGCAUAUAACUGAAUUACUUUUCUGUACUGCAGAAAUUAUCACAAUGUUGUAAAAUCAACUCUACUUCAAUAAAACUUGAAGAAAUGAAAAAAAAGAUUUUGGCUGAUUUCCUUAGUAGAAAAGUGUUGGAAGGACGUGGGAGAGGGCUCUCUUCACUCCAUCUCAUUUUAAAACUUGAUGAUAAUCUUUAAAGACCUGCUGAUAGGAUCUUUUAAAAGGCACAGGUAAUUAUGUGACUGCUACUUGAAGUGAAUUUAAAAGAAAAAUAUGCUGCUUGGACAAUUUUCACUGUGAUUAGAAAUUGCUUCAAAAAACAAACUUGAUUUGGACCUGGAGUCUCAUUGUGGACAAACUACUUCCCAAGAAUUAGACAGAUUCUGGAGCUGGCAGUCAGCAAGCAUUGCCAACUAUUUACUAAGUAUUAAGGAACAUGCAUGGGUGCAGAACUCCUUAGGUAGGUCACACUGCCACCACACAGGACACCGAUGAAGUAAUCUGUUAAAUGGCAUCUAUUAAGACAGAGUUAUUGACACUUUAAAAAUGUGCAAGAAAACCUGUAAGAAGUGGUUACAUUAACCUGGUAAACAUAGCACCUUUGAACACAAAUGCACAAAGAUAAAUCUAGGUCAUUAAAUUUUCGCCGAAAUGAUCAAUGGUGAUGAUAAUCUUAAGUCUCAUCUUAAUAUUUUAAUUUACCUAAUAUAAUAUUGUUACUUUGGUUUUAAUUCACAUUUACCUGACAUAUCUAUUUCCAAUCCAUUUCACUCAAAAUUUCUGAGCCACUGUGUCUUAGGUACGAUGCUUAUAAACAGUAUGUAGCUGGAGCUCAAAUUUUUGUGCAAUCAUUGUCUUCAAACGGGAGAAUUUAGCUCAUUUACCUUUAUUGUGGUUAAAUAUACAUUUGGACCUAUUUGAAUCAUCUCUUUUUUUGUUGUUAUUUUCUAUUGAACACACAUCUUCCUUGGUAUUUUUUUUCUCUUCUCUCCUGCUAUCUAUUGAAUUGAUUGACUGAACUUUCUUCAUUCCCCUCCACUGGUUUGGAAGUUAUUCUAUUUCUAUAGAGGUUAUCCCCAAAUUUGUAUAGCAACCAAAAUCUAAAGAAAAUCUUAUCUCUAUCCUUCUCUAAAAUAAUAUGAAUACUGUGGAAGAUAUUACCUCCAUUUCUCCUGCAUCCCAUGCUAUUACAGUGCAAUAGUAAGCUCUAUAUUAUUGUUUACAAACACUCCUCAAAAAUUGUUACUAUUACUAUUGUUGUUAUUGUUUUAUCAACAGUG